AUAAUGGGUCAGCGACUUAUAUUCUGUAGCAAGGUUAACCGAAUAGGGGAGCCGAAGGGAAACCGAGUCUUAACUGGGCGUUAAGUUGCAGGGUAUAGACCCGAAACCCGGUGAUCUAGCCAUGGGCAGGUUGAAGGUUGGGUAACACUAACUGGAGGACCGAACCGACUAAUGUUGAAAAAUUAGCGGAUGACUUGUGGCUGGGGGUGAAAGGCCAAUCAAACCGGGAGAUAGCUGGUUCUCCCCGAAAGCUAUUUAGGUAGCGCCUCGUGAAUUCAUCUCCGGGGGUAGAGCACUGUUUCGGCAAGGGGGUCAUCCCGACUUACCAACCCGAUGCAAACUGCGAAUACCGGAGAAUGUUAUCACGGGAGACACACGGCGGGUGCUAACGUCCGUCGUGAAGAGGGAAACAACCCAGACCGCCAGCUAAGGUCCCAAAGUCAUGGUUAAGUGGGAAACGAUGUGGGAAGGCCCAGACAGCCAGGAUGUUGGCUUAGAAGCAGCCAUCAUUUAAAGAAAGCGUAAUAGCUCACUGGUCGAGUCGGCCUGCGCGGAAGAUGUAACGGGGCUAAACCAUGCACCGAAGCUGCGGCAGCGACGCUGAUGCGUUGUUGGGUAGGGGAGCGUUCUGUAAGCCUGUGAAGGUGUGCUGUGAGGCAUGCUGGAGGUAUCAGAAGUGCGAAUGCUGACAUAAGUAACGAUAAAGCGGGUGAAAAGCCCGCUCGCCGGAAGACCAAGGGUUCCUGUCCAACGUUAAUCGGGGCAGGGUGAGUCGACCCCUAAGGCGAGGCCGAAAGGCGUAGUCGAUGGGAAACAGGUUAAUAUUCCUGUACUUGGUGUUACUGCGAAGGGGGGACGGAGAAGGCUAUGUUGGCCGGGCGACGGUUGUCCCGGUUUAAGCGUGUAGGCUGGUUUUCCAGGCAAAUCCGGAAAAUCAAGGCUGAGGCGUGAUGACGAGGCACUACGGUGCUGAAGCAACAAAUGCCCUGCUUCCAGGAAAAGCCUCUAAGCAUCAGGUAACAUCAAAUCGUACCCCAAACCGACACAGGUGGUCAGGUAGAGAAUACCAAGGCGCUUGAGAGAACUCGGGUGAAGGAACUAGGCAAAAUGGUGCCGUAACUUCGGGAGAAGGCACGCUGAUAUGUAGGUGAAGUCCCUCGCGGAUGGAGCUGAAAUCAGUCGAAGAUACCAGCUGGCUGCAACUGUUUAUUAAAAACACAGCACUGUGCAAACACGAAAGUGGACGUAUACGGUGUGACGCCUGCCCGGUGCCGGAAGGUUAAUUGAUGGGGUCAGCGCAAGCGAAGCUCUUGAUCGAAGCCCCGGUAAACGGCGGCCGUAACUAUAACGGUCCUAAGGUAGCGAAAUUCCUUGUCGGGUAAGUUCCGACCUGCACGAAUGGCGUAAUGAUGGCCAGGCUGUCUCCACCCGAGACUCAGUGAAAUUGAACUCGCUGUGAAGAUGCAGUGUACCCGCGGCAAGACGGAAAGACCCCGUGAACCUUUACUAUAGCUUGACACUGAACAUUGAGCCUUGAUGUGUAGGAUAGGUGGGAGGCUUUGAAGUGUGGACGCCAGUCUGC
rnacentral:rRNA from 1 species